AGAAAAUCAGUGUCUAACUGUGAUGUAGCUCAUUAAAGGCAUUUUACAUGUUUUGGCAGCUUUAGAGAUAUAAAUUGCGAAACAAUUUAGCGAGGACACUAGCCUGGCGAAAUCAGUUUCCAUAUCAGUGCUUGUAGAUAUUUGUGGCUUGGAACUUUUUCUCCAAAUUAAAACAGUUGAAUUUUUGUCGAAAUAUGUCCUAAUUGUUACCUUAUGUCCUUUUGUCGCUGUGGGUACAUCCGACUGCACUUCGUUAUGAGUACAGACUAGGGUUAGCCGACAGACCGAUGGAUUGCCGCGAAAGAAACCUUCGGAGGACUCUCAUCAACUCAAUGGGAAUACAUCGCUUGUCUUCAUUUGUGGGUACAAGUGAACAAUAAGAUGAGCCAAGGCUGAUGUUAGGUGAAUGUCCCAGUCUGGAAGCCAAGGCACGUACAGUGUGAUCUCCACAUGCAACAGAAGCUCAAAAUAAACUUAUACAUUUUU
rnacentral:lncRNA from 1 species